rnacentral:rRNA from 1 species
CCUACGGGUGGCAGCAGUGAGGAAUAUUGGUCAAUGGACGCAAGUCUGAACCAGCCAUGCCGCGUGCAGGAAGACGGCCCUAUGAGUUGUAAACUGCUUUUGUACGAGGGUAAACGCACAUACGCGUAUCUGUCUGAAAGUACCGUACGAAUAAGGAUCGGCUAGCUCCGUGCCAGCCGCCGCGGUAAUACGGUGGAUGCAAGCGUUAUCCGGAUUGAUUGGGUGUAAAGGGUUCGUAGGCGGUAUGAUAAGUCAGAGGUGAAAUCCCGGGGCUCAACGUCGGAAGUGCCUCUGAUACUGUUCGGCUGGAGAGUAGUUGUGGUAGGCGGAAUGUAGGGUGUAGGGGUGAAAUGCGUAGAGAUCAGACAGAACACCGAUUGCGAAGGCAGCUUACCGAGCUA